GCGGAUCUGGCCCCGCCGUCGUAGAGGAGGGCUCGGUCCCGAGCUCGGGUCCACCGGAGGGAGGGAGUGGCGCGCCGGCUAGGGAAGGGGCCGAGGUCGAAGCAGAGAAGGGGCCACCGCCUGCUGCUCCGUCGCGCCCUCCUGCGCGCGGUUGCUCUCCUGCACGCGGCGGCUGCCCGCGGCACCCGCCGCUGCACCCUCUCUUGCUCGCGGUGAGCGAGGAUGGCAGUCGGCGCGGGAGGAGGCCCUCACGGAGCCACACCGGCCGCGCUUGGGCGCCGCUGUGCCUGCAAGCCCCCGCGUGCCUCCACGGCGGAGGUGGAGCAGCAGCUCCCCGUCGCGGCCUCGCAGGGCUCUCCGUAGGGAUGAGUCGGCUGUGAGGUAGAGAAGGUCCACCACGCCCCUCCACAGAGCAGUCGACGCGCGCGGGGAAGAGGAGGCCAAGGAGGAUGGCGCCCAACGGAGCGGAAGGUGAGAACGCCAUGGCCGCGAGAUCCGCGAUUCCUGUCGGGGUGGAGCUCAGCUGCGCCUAGCGCUGGGUCCUGGAUGGAGUUGAGGAGCUUGUGGUCACGUGGGUGAAGUGAAUCGAUCGGAGGUGUGGUGCGGCCGGCGAAUUUAACCUUCCUCGGUUCACCGUCGGCUGCUGCCUUCAUCUGAUCUCCACACCGCUGCUGUUUCCUCCAUCAUUAGCUGGUUCCCCGAGGUCUCCCAAGUGAGCUCCUGCUACUGGUUCCACAACUUCGGUACCCUUCCCCUGCCUGCCUGUGCUACCUGGAUUGGGUGCUCUACUUCUGGGACGCAUUCUCAGCGGUGACUUACUACUUCAGCUUGGCAGGUGUGUGGUCUACACAUUUUUACUUUUGGAGUCUGCAGCUUAUAGAUCUUGGGUUCGUUAUAAUUGGCUAUAUGUGCUUAUGUGCAAUGAGUCUGUCAUAAGGUCUGUGCUGCACACAUUGUUUAGCUUUGGAGCAUUCAGCUUAUAGAUCCUUGGUGCUUCAAAUUGCUGUGCCUAUUGUUUAGUUUCAAGGUAUGGGGAUUGUGAAUC